UACGUAGGCAGCAAACGUUGUUCGGAAUUACUGGGCGUAAAGAGUGUGUAGGCGGUUCUGUAAGUUUGGUGUGAAAUCUCCCGGCUUAACUGGGAGGGUGCGCCGAAAACUGCAAGGCUUGAGUGCUGGAGAGGAUAGCGGAAUUCCUGGUGUAGCGGUGAAAUGCGUAGAUAUCAGGAAGAACACCCGUGGCGAAAGCGGCUCUCUGGAACGGUACUGACGCUGAGACGCGAAAGCGUGGGGAGCGAACAGG
rnacentral:rRNA from 1 species